ensembl:lncRNA
CUACUACCACUACUACAACUACUACUGCUACUACACUACUACUACCACUACUACAACUACUACUGCUACUACACUACUACUACCACCACUACUAUUAGUACUACUGCUACUACUACACUACUACUACCACUACUAUUACUACUACUACCGCUACUACACUACUACUACCACUACUAUUACUACUACUACCGCUACUACACUACUACUACCACUACUGCUACUACACUACUACUACCACUACUAUUACUACUACUGCUACUACACUACUACUACCACUACUAUUACUACUACUACUACUACACUACUACUACCACUACUACAACUACUACUACACUACUACUACCACUACUAUUACUACUACUACGGCUACUACACUACUACUACCACUACUAUUACUACUACUACCGCUACUACACUACUACUACCACUACUAUUACUACUACUACCGCUACUACACUACUACUACCACUACUAUUACUACUACUACUACUACACUACUACUACCACUACUACAACUACUACUACACUACUACUACCACUACUAUUACUACUACUACCGCUACUACACUACUACUACCACUACUAUUACUACUACUACCGCUACUACACUACUACUUCUAUUACCAAUACCACUACUACUACUACUACUACUACUACACUACUACUACCACUACUACAACUACUACUGCUACUACCACCACUACAACUACUACUGCUACUACCACCACUACAACUACUACUACCACCACUACUAUUAGUACUACUGCUACUACUACUACCACUACUAUUACUACUACUACUGCUACUACCACCACUACUAUUAGUACUACUGCUACUACUACUACCACUACUAUUACUACUACUACUGCUACUACCACCACUACUAUUAGUACUACUGCUACUACUACUGCUACUACACUACUACUUCUAUUACCAAUACCACUACAACUACUACUACACUACUACUACCACUACUACAACUACCACCACUACUAUUAGUACUACUGCUACUACUACUACCACUACUAUUACUACUACUACUGCUACUACACUACUACUUCUAUUACCAAUACCACCACUACUACUACUGCUACUACCACCACUACAACUACUACUGCUACUACAACCACUACUAUUAGUACUACUGCUACUACUACUACACUACUAUUAGUACUACUGCUACUACUAUUACUAUUACUAAUACCACUACUACUGCUAUUACACUACUACUGCUACUAAUACCACCACCACCACUACUACUACUGCUACUACACUACUACUACUACUACCACCACUACUAUUACUAUCACUACUGCUACUACACUACUACUACUACUACUACUACUACCACCACUACUAUUACUAUCACUACUGCUACUACACUACUACUGCUACUACUACCGCUACUACCAUUACUAUUACUACUACUACCACCACCACUACUCCUACUACUCCUACUACUACUACCACUACUAUUACUACUGCUACCGCUACUACCACUACUACUACUACCACCACUUCUACUCCUACUACUCCUACUACUACUACCACUACUACUGCUACUACUACCACUACUACUGCUACUACUACCACUACUAUUACUACUGCUACCGCUACUACCACUACUACUGCUACUACCACUACUAUUACUACUGCUACUACUACAACUAUUACUACUGCUACUACUACCACUACUACGACUACCACUACUAUUACUACUGCUACUACCACUACUAUUACUACUGCUGCUGCUACUACUACUACUACCACAGCUACUACUACUAUUACUAAUACCUCUACUACUACUACUGCACUACUACUACUUACUAUUACUACUUCUACCACUACUACGUCUAAUAUUAUAAACUACUACUAUUACUACUACUACCACCACUAUUACUACUAUUACUACUUCUACCACUACUACUACUACCUCUAUUACUACUUCUUCUAUACUACUACUACUACUACUACUACUACUACUACUACCAUUACUCAGUUUAUGGAUUUUAAUUUAAAUAAACGACAAAAUGGUACUCGAAGUUUGCCCCGCCCCAAUUAAUCGAAAAAAAAAAAAAAUCAGCCAACUAAUCGAUUAUGAAAAUAAUGGUUAGUUGCAUCCCUACACUUGAGUAAGAAAUCAUUUGCAAUCCUAUGUACAGAAACAUCGCUUUAUACGCACCUUCCCAUUAAAACUGUAUUUUAUUGUACACGUUGAGUUGUUUCCUGAGAAAAAUUGUGCAAAUUGUGCCGAAUACUGUCAAUGCACUCAAACAGGCCAAAAUGUUGCACAGCGCAGUGGCGAUGCAGCUGCACCGAGAUCAAUUUCAACAUUGCUUACUCAGAAAAGUGUGCAAGAGGAACAAAGGUCUUUCACAUCAGAAGCGCAAGAGGCACGAGCAUGUUAAUGUGCGGGCAUGGCUCUUAUAUCUUAUGUGGAACAUGUAAAGUGUACACGUUAAUGUGAGUGCAUGUGUGUAUAUAUAUAUAUAUAUAUAAAUACAUAUAUAUAGAGCAGUGAAGUCAAUAUUUGUCGUGUUGACCCUUUGCUUUAAAAAACAAUGAGUGCCUGAAAAUUGGCCCGGAAACCAGGAAUCUUCCGUCCAUCUGAGACUCGGACAAAGUUGACCAUCUUAUAAGUUAACUUGUCUGGUUGAGCGUUAAAAUAAAAGAGAUGUCAUUAUUUCCCAGCGUUCUCUGGUCAUGUAUGAACGCAUUGGUCCCCGGCAGGGUUCCAGCAAUGCACUUAACGUGUAAGGGUGUGGAUCUUCCCACAUUUCCGCAACGGUUACUUCGGCGACGUUCCGGAUUUUAUGCAUGAAAAGGGCUUUUUGAAACUAAAUCUAAAUUUCAGAUCUUAUCCGAUUCAACCGGGCCACCGCUCUUUCCAUUAUCUCCCGAAUGGUUCGUAGGAACAGCAUGAAUCACGUUCGUUCCGCCUUUCCGCAAAGCCAUAAUAACACCGCUUCCAAACACUUACCCCACACACUGUGUGCACUUGCGGACUGGUAGUAAUGAAAUCGUCUCUAAAGGUCCACUAGUCAUCAGGUGCUAUUUAUGGGCUGUGCUUAUGGAAAAACAUCCCUCAGUUCCGCAGUUCUACGAAAUCCAUUAGUGUAUUUGAUUACAGUGCGGUCUUGUAUAGUCGUAUGGAUGACAUGCCGGUGCCAUUACUUAAAAUGCAAAAAUGGCCACGAUACUGGGAAAUCAAACCCGAGUGAUUGAGAGCUGAUCACGUCCCAGCAUUACAUCACGUUAGAUCAUCUAGACCGCUUUACGUUCCAUCCACUGAUGGAUUGAGGUGGCUGGCCUCGAAAACGGUCAAUAAACUGAUUGAUGGAUUGUGUCGUUUAUUUCGUCUCUCGACGGGAUUUUACCGUAGACCCAUUUCGCUGGGAGAAGCCGUGGACCCGGAGAUGCUUUUUAUUUAUUUGUUAUUUAUUUAUUUAUUUUAAACGGGACGGUUUCAACACUCUAGGGUCAGUUUUCAAAGGUGUUUUGGAGAAGUGUUGUACACAGACACGGUCCUCGAGCAGAGGGAGAUUAUCACAGCAGACGCUUAGCGUCAAGCGCGUAUAGGAUAACGAAGAAGGGCGAAUGAUGGCCGACGCGGAGACCCACACAUACACAUCCGUCUGCUCGCUCUUUGAUCUGUCGUUUUGUUUUCAUGACCAUAUGAGUCAUGGUUUUAUAUAGAAUCCCAGAUCACCACGUCUGAGAGAUACAGCUUGUCCAAGUCGGAGAGCUACGGUGGCUUGUUUUCUGUAGUUGAGAAUGUUCUUUUUUUAAAGAAAAAAAUGUUCUUUUUUUUAAAAAAAAAUAAAUAAAUAAUAGAUAUAAAUAGAUAAAAUUGUGGAAUUGGUUUAUUUGGAGGAAAUGGCGUUUGUGGGUUAACACAGUUCUGUGUCAUCGCUCUCAGGCAUUGUCGUGUGUACUUUAGAGAAGUGCAUGUUUGUGUGCUCUGGCAACCUCGCCAGAUGGUGCUGGGAGUGUGAGGGCUGUGAGGGCACCCACUCCCAGAGGAGAGGUUGGUGUGUGUGUGUGUGUGUGUGUGAAAGGAGAGGAGGGGUUUUAGAAAGGCAUGUAGGCUCAUUUAGGUCAGAGUACAGCAUGUUGUCAAAUCCGGCAUAGGCAGGCUGAUCGUCAGAAGUGUGUGUGUGUGUGUGUGUAUUAUUUUGCUAUGUUUUCUAUACAAAAUGUAUAGGAAUAUCAGACAGUUUUGGUCUUGUGGAAACAUUUAUCACGAGGAAAAACUCACUUUUAUUUGAAAAACUACGGUUACUAAGGUUAAGGUAGGGGUUACAUUUAGUUGUAGCAUAGCAUAAAUAAACCCCAUUAACAAUUCAACCAAUGGAAGGUCCUCGCAAGGGUAGUCAGACGUGUACGUGUGUGUGUUUGCGUGGAUGAAUAUCUCAGAACAGAUUCUGUCAGGCUUUAACGGUUUGCUCCGGUCAACGGCGUUAAGUCACAUCAGAUAACCGGUAAAGGUUCAAGACGUCUGAUUAUUACUUUAGAUCUGCUCUCCUGCCUGCCUGCUCUUUCAUCUGGCAACCACAUCAGCUCAGUGAAGUGCUCCAGAGCUUUCUCCAGCACUCAUUCACGUGGAAGUAGUACACACACACCAUGAUAAUUACCAGUCAUGACCGCUCAGCGUCAUGUGUUUUUCUCCCCAAAGCAUGUCCCUCUGUGUUUACUCAGCCAUGUGUGUGGUUUCUGUAACUCAGCCCCGUGUGUAACGUCUCUCAUCGACACGUCGGCGAGUUUUCACUUCGGUUAAUGUUUUCCUACACUACCCACUACGCCAUCCGACCGCCUGCUGAUCGUGGCGCCACCGGGAACAUCUCCUCAUCUCUGUUUAACGAGAGCGGUUGCAGCGGCGCUUUAGUCCUUUCGUAUGUCCAGGUCUCUCUCGCCUCCGCAUCCAAACAGAACUUCGCGGCCGUCGUCCUGUAGAUCUCCGACUAGCCGGGCGGAUUCUCCGCCGUAACUCGGCGAAGCGACAUCGUAUAACCGCGCUGCAUUCUGGGACUCCGAGUCCAGCGUUUGCUUCGCCGUGUUGGAUUUCUUAUUAAUAUUGUGAGUGGGGAAAAUAUCUCUUUUGUUUUCCCAAAUAUUGAGUAUAUUUAUGCAUUGCCUUUCCAUGACCGAUAUUCUGUAAAUGGUGCAGGGGCCAAAGGUCAUUAGGUAACCUGAUGCAGGACGUGCAUGCACCUGUCCAUCGUGACUCCAUGGAUCGUAAAUAAAUUAUUUUAUCAUUCAGGUUGGCGAGUCUCGUGAACUUUGCUCUAAGGCGUUCAGUGUUUUCGGGAAUUUAUGACAGACUUCAAAUAUUUCCCUUUUUUUUUUUUUCUUUUUUUUUUUCCGGUUGUCUAUUUAAAGUAACAUCCAGUGACACGCAAUCACGACAAAACAAACAACCAAAGUGCAGAACGCAUCAGAGGAAGAACAGGGUAUCCGUUAUUCAUUUUUGCUCGUGUUGUACGCUCGCUAUCCAACCAUUUUUUUGCCUUUAUUUUCGUGGCACUCGUCGGUGGAAAUUAUUAGGAGCAAAAUGUCCGUGUGCAGUGAACACGUCGAGAGUGAAGGUGCUGCAGCUGUGUGUCUGAUCUGAUCACGCGAGCCUCGUUCGCAGGAGGAAGAUCUCCUAAUAUUUCUCGAUUUCGUGAACGUAACUGAAUUUGAAUGCGGCCAUCUAGACUGUCUGCCUCACAAAAUGCCUUGAAGCAUCAUCUGUGUGUGUGUGUGCGCGUGUGUGUGUGCGUGACAUAAACACAUACACGAUGGACUUGACUGUUAUAUGAAUAGAUACAGGUAUAACUUAUGAAUGAGAGAGACAGAGAGUGAGUGAGAGAGAGAUACUGAGAGAGAUAGUGUGAGAGCGAGAGAGUGAGAGAGAUAGUGAGUGUGUGUGUGAGAGAGAUAGUGAGUGUGAGAGAGAUAGUGAGAGAGAUAGUGAGAAGAGAUAGUGAGUGUGAGAGAGAGAUAGUGAGUGUGAGAGAGAUAGUGAGAGAGAUAGUGAGUGUGAGAGAGAGAUAGUGAGAGAGAGAUAGUGUGAGAGAGAUAGUGAGUGUGAGAGAGAUAGUGAGAGAGAUAGUGAGUGUGAGAGAGAUAGUGAGAGAGAUAGUGAGUGUGAGAGAGAGAUAGUGAGAGAGAUAGUGAGUGUGAGAGAGAUAGUGAGAGAGAUAGUGAGUGUGAGAGAGAGAUUGAGUGUGAGAGAGAUAGUGAGAGAGGAUAGUGAGUGUGAGAGAGAGAUAGUGAGAGAGAGAUAGUGAGUGUGAGAGAGAGAUAGAGUAGUGAGAGAGAGAGAUAGUGAGUGUGAGAGAGAGAUAGUGAGUGUGAGAGAGAUAGUGAGAGAGAGAGAUAGUGUGAGAGAGAGAGAUAGUGAGUGUGAGAGAGAGAUAGUGAGAGAGAGAGAGAUAGUGAGUGUGAGAGAGAGAUAGUGAGUGUGAGAGAGAGAGAUAGUGAGAGAGAGAGAGAUAGUGAGAGAGAGAGAGAUAGUGAGAGUGAGAGAUAGUGAGUGUGAGAGAGAGAGAUAGUGAGAGUGAGAGAGAGAUAGUGAGUGUGAGAGAGAGAGAUAGUGAGUGUGAGAGAGAGAUAGUGAGUGUGAGAGAGAGAUAGUGAGAGAGAGAGAUAGUGAGUGUGAGAGAGAGAGAUAGUGAGUGAGAGAGAGAUAGUGAGUGUGAGAGAGAGAUAGUGAGAGAGAGAGAUAGUGAGUGUGAGAGAUAGUGAGUGAGAGAGAGAGAUAGUGAGUGUGAGAGAGAGAUAGUGAGAGAGAGAGAUAGUGAGUGUGAGAGAGAGAUAGUGAGUGAG